AAGGGGACCGCUGGCGCUAAGUCAGAGGAAGGAGAGGUCAACGGUAGGUCAGUAUGCCCCGAAUCUCCCGGGCUACACGCGCGCUACAAAGGACAGGACAAUGGGAUGACAAUACCGAGAGGUAACGCCAACCCGAAACCUGUUCGUAGUUCGGACUGGGGGCUGUAACUCGCCCUCACGAAGCUGGAUUCCGUAGUAAUCGCGGGUCAACAUCCCGCGGUGAAUAUGCCCCUGCUCUUU
rnacentral:rRNA from 1 species